AACGAACGCUGGCGGCAUGCCUACCACAUGCAAGUCGAACGAGACCUUCGGGUCUAGUGGCGCACGGGUGCGUAACGCGUGGGAACCUGCCCUUAGGUUCGGAAUAACUCCCCGAAAGGGGUGCUAAUACCGGAUAAUGUCUUCGGACCAAAGAUUUAUCGCCUUUGGAUGGGCCCGCGUUGGAUUAGCUAGUUGGUAGGGUAAAAGCCUACCAAGGCGACGAUCCAUAGCUGGUCUGAGAGGAUGAUCAGCCACACUGGGACUGAGACACGGCCCAGACUCCUACGGGAGGCAGCAGUGGGGAAUAUUGGACAAUGGGCGAAAGCCUGAUCCAGCAAUGCCGCGUGAGUGAUGAAGGCCUUAGGGUUGUAAAGCUCUUUUACCCGGGAUGAUAAUGACAGUACCGGGAGAAUAAGCUCCGGCUAACUCCGUG
rnacentral:rRNA from 1 species